rnacentral:pre_miRNA from 1 species
GUAGGAACAGGCGGGCUGGCAUAACUCCGCCCAUAUUUUACUGUCAGAGAUGGUCAGAGUUUUGCCAGUUCCGCCCAUUCCUACUG